rnacentral:rRNA from 2 species
AAAGAUUAAAUUAGUAAAAUAGCUUCUAUGACGUUAGCGGCAGACGGGUGAGUAACACGUGGGCAACCUGCCUGUAAGACUGGGAUAACUCCGGGAAACCGGAGCUAAUACCGGAUAACAUUUUCUCUUGCAUAAGAGAAAAUUGAAAGAUGGUUUCGGCUAUCACUUACAGAUGGGCCCGCGGUGCAUUAGCUAGUUGGUGAGGUAACGGCUCACCAAGGCAACGAUGCAUAGCCGACCUGAGAGGGUGAUCGGCCACACUGGGACUGAGACACGGCCCAGACUCCUACGGGAGGCAGCAGUAGGGAAUCUUCCGCAAUGGACGAAAGUCUGACGGAGCAACGCCGCGUGAGUGAUGAAGGCUUUCGGGUCGUAAAACUCUGUUGUUAGGGAAGAACAAGUACAAGAGUAACUGCUUGUACCUUGACGGUACCUAACCAUAAAGCCACGGCUAACUACGUGCCAGCAGCCGCGGUAAUACGUAGGUGGCAAGCGUUAUCCGGAAUUAUUGGGCGUAAAGCGCGCGCAGGCGGUUUCUUAAGUUCUGAUGUGAAAAGCCCACGGGCUCAACCGUGUAGGGUCAUUGGAAACUGGGGGAACUUGAGUGCAGAAGAGAAAAAGCGGGAAUUCCACGUGUAGCUGUGAA